rnacentral:tRNA from 1 species
UCCCUGGUGGCUCAGAUGGUAAAGCAUCUGCCUGCAAUGCCGGUGACCCGGGUUCGAUCCCUGGGUUGGGAA